AGUGAACGCUGGCGGUAGGCCUAACACAAGCAAGUCGAACGGCAGCACAGUAAGAGCUUGCUCUUACGGGUGGCGAGUGGCGGACGGGUGAGGAAUACAUCGGAAUCUACUUUUUCGUGGGGGAUAACGUAGGGAAACUUACGCUAAUACCGCAUACGACCUACGGGUGAAAGCAGGGGAUCUUCGGACCUUGCGCGAUUGAAUGAGCCGAUGUCGGAUUAGCUAGUUGGCGGGGUAAAGGCCCACCAAGGCGACGAUCCGUAGCUGGUCUGAGAGGAUGAUCAGCCACACUGGAACUGAGACACGGUCCAGACUCCUACGGGAGGCAGCAGUGGGGAAUAUUGGACAAUGGGCGAAAGCCUGAUCCAGCCAUACCGCGUGGGUGAAGAAGGCCUUCGGGUUGUAAAGCCCUUUUGUUGGGAAAGAAAAGCAGCAGGUUAAUACCCCGCUGUUCUGACGGUACCCAAAGAAUAAGCACCGGCUAACUUCGUG
rnacentral:rRNA from 1 species